GGAGCUUUUUCUUUUUUUUGGUAGGGUGGGGGGACCCCUUUUCUGAAAAGAGGACAGCUUCAUAGACGGCAAGAGACGUGGGCGGCCAGGCGGGUAGGUGCUGACUGGUGAACAGGAAGAGCAAGUAGUGACUUGCUGAGGAAGACACAAACAGGGAAAAAAAAAAAAAAACUAGAUAUCUGGGGGGAAGCUUCAGAGAGACGAGAGAGCUUUUGGUGGGUUUUAGGGGGAGAGAACGGUGAGAAGAGGAAAGAUUCCGGGAGCUUUUGGGGGAGUUUUUCGGAAGCAUUGUAGCCUUUUUUCUAGGAUAGCUGGGAGAGAAGGCGGCUAUAGGAGGAGUUUUUCAUCAGAGAGCUUAAGGGGGAUGUACCUUUGAGAAGGGGCGGGCUUUUUUGGGGGGGUGGCUAGGCUGAGAGAGAUAACCAGAGAGAGGGAAUUACCGAAGGAGCAAGGGAAGAUAGAGUUGCAGGGAGGCAAAGGAAACGCUCCCAGUUCCCUUUCUCUCUCUCUCUUGAAACAGCUUUAUGGAUGAGGCUCCAUGUUUGUCUCAUGUGAUAUCUCUUGUAAUGAGUUGCAUGGUCAUGUACACAAUGAUGAAUACGGAGGGUGUACACGCAUCAUAUGUUGCUUGUGGGUGUUUGGCAUACUGCUGCAGUUGUGGAAUUAGUGAUUGCAUCCUCUAGUUCUGCAUGAAAGUGAGUGGAGGAGUGGAUUGGUAUGGGAUACUUGGCAUAAUCCCCUUGGCCGAUGAGGGAACUGUGAAGAAACAAUGCAGGGAGCUGGCUCUUAUGCUUUAUCCUAAUAAAAACAAGUCCAUUGGUGCAGAUGGUACAUUUAAGUUUGUUUCAGAGGCUUGGAGUUUAUUAUCUGGCAAGAGCAAGUAUUUGCUGAAUGUUUCCCACUGAUGGCAUUGUUUAAACAAAUUGGUGGAUAAAAGUCAAAGACAUAGUUUUUUUAUAUUA